GACGGGGGGGGCAAGUGUUCUUCGGAAUGACUGGGCGUAAAGGGCGCGUAGGCGGCUUGGUCAGUCCCGUGUGAAAUCCCUCGGCUCAACUGAGGAACUGCACGGGAAACUGCCUGGCUUGAGUUCGGGAGAGGGAAGCGGAAUUCCGGGUGUAGCGGUGAAAUGCGUAGAUAUCCGGAGGAACACCGGUGGCGAAGGCGGCUUCCUGGACCGACACUGACGCUGAGGCGCGAAAGCUAGGGGAGCAAACAGG
rnacentral:rRNA from 1 species